CUAUAGACGGAUUCCAGAGGAUGUGAUCAGCCGUCUAAUGACCAUUUUGGGCCACUUGAUGAAGAUUGCGACACUGAAGAAGUAUGUCGAGAUGGAACGCUAUGUCUUGGCUGAGACAAAGCCAAAAUGUUAAAGACAUGUAUUCGAAAUGAACUCCUCUUCUGAGAUGCAUGGCUUAGAAGUAGAUAUUUGUUGUAGAACUAUUUUCUUUAUCACCAACAACUGAAGCACUUUAACUUU